rnacentral:lncRNA from 1 species
GCUUCCUAUUGUUUAUGGUUGGGAUUGGAAGGAGGUGUUCAGGCUCUUUCAGAUGACUUUAGGAUUUAGUUAAAAUAGAUAGUUAGGAUGUGACAUAAGCAGAUUGUUGUAUCUUCUUAUAUUUUACCUCUAUGAUUGUUAAUUUUGGACACUUUACACUGUUAAGUUUUAAUCCUCUUUUAGACUAAAAGGGGAAUUGUAGGGGAAGCUGUAGCCACGCCUACUUAGGGGCUGGCUACAGGUGUGCCUGACCACACUUGUGAGGGCGUGGUCAGGGUGAUGUAGAGUGACUGCAUUUUUCUCUUUCAGUUUCACUUUUGUACUUGCUGGACAGACUGCUGCCACGCCGGCUGGCUAGGUUGCUCUGAGUGGAGAUGGGAGACAAGAGGCCUAGAAAGACAGAUAAGAUACAAAAAUUACUGGUGUGAUGACUGAGGAGGUGACACACAGGAGGGCUUCACGUCACCACACAGAGCUCAAGACCUUUGAUUUCUUCCUCCACUACCAAUAAGAAGUGUGUAUGUGUGACUGGCUAAUAAUUCUAUUGCGUAGAUAAUGAGGUGGCCAGUAGCACUGGGAAUUAGCUGGGCUUGUGAGACAGACUUCCUUCAAAAUCUAAUUCUAGAAAAAGAAGAAUGGCACAAAUGUUAUGGGAGUAACCGAGCACUUUUCGUUCAGAUUUAAGACCCAUUUCAAGAGAUGGAACCAAUAACUGACACUUCUAAUGUGGUCAAGAACCUGGGACUAGAGCCUUCAUCCAGCAGCUGAUGGAAGUAGAAGCAGACACCCACAGCUAAACACUGAACUGAACUGGAAUCCAAUUUCAGAGAAGGAGAAAUGAUGAGCAAAGCGGUCCAUACCAGGCUGGUGAAACCCACAGAAACAGCUGACCUGAACAAGGAGGAGCUCUUGGCCUCUAGACCGAUCACUGGGAAACCAGCAUGGAACUGAUCCAGAUCCCAUGAAUGUGGGUGUCAGUAAGGAGGCCUCCGAAAUCUGUGUGGCCUCUUGUAGUAGAUCAGUACUUAUCCCUAGCAUAGGAAUGGACUUUGGGAGCCCAUUUUACAUCGAGGGAUACUCCCUUUGCCUAGACACACGGGGGAAGGGUCUAGGCCCUAUCCCAAAGGAUAUAACAGACUCCUAAGACUCCCCAUGGAAGACCUCACUCUCACUGGGGAGCAGAAAUGGUAUGGGAUAGGUAGGGUGUUAGUGGGGGCAAGGGAG